UAUAUGAGGCCAUUUACAUUGCACCUUGUAGACCAAUGUAAGGCUUUCAACCUUAACGUGAACAUCAUUCGGACGUUAGCAGAAAAGCUCAGAACAAGAUAUGCCAUGCCUAAUAUGGCCAUAAUUGAGGCGCUUGAUGUAGUUCCGGGGCGGAGUCAGGCCCUGCACGAGGUUGUGAUUGGGCUCUUGGUGUUCAAUAACAUACGCCGCUUCUUCAGACAGUUUUGUAACAUGCCAUCGUGUCAGCUCAGCGCUUGAAGCGAUCAAAUGGAUUUACAAUGAGCCAAUUUCGUGUCCAGCUAAAUUGAAAAGGAUAUGCAUAUUGCCGACUUUGUGGCUGGAUCCAUUGGAGAGCUGUUCCUGACUUGGACCUGUCUUCUCUCUAAAAUUGUACAGGAGCAUGUGGAGUUGCGGUGGGCUACCCAUUCGACACAGUAAAGGUCAGGAUACAAACGCAGCCCCAGUUCACUGGACUAUGGCAAUGUGCUACUACGACAUUUUACAAAGAAGGCUUGCAUGGGUUUUUCAAAGGUAUGGCCUUGCCCGUCACCACCAUCUCGAUGACGUCUUCGGUGGUGUUCGGCACAUACCGGAACUGCCUACAGUGUCUGUCCCAGGUGCGAUCAGGCGCCCCAUGGGGUCCCAACACCAAGCUGGAUGUGUUCCUCUCUGGCAUGACUGCAGGGGUGGCUCAGAUAUUUGUGAUGUCGCCAGGUGACAUUGUUAAAGUGCGCCUGCAGUGCCAGACGGAAUCCUCCAGAGGGCGCCCCAGCAUGUCCAUGCCAAAGUACAGAGGCCCCGUCCACUGUCUGCUGCAGAUCCUCCGAGAGGAGGGGGUCCUGGGACUCUACAGAGGGGCCCUGCCGCUCAUGCUGAGGGACGGGCCCUCCUACGCCACCUACUUCCUGACCUACAACACCCUCUGUGAUUGGAUGACCCCAGUCGGCAAGGAGGGGCCCGGCUUGAGCGGUGUGAUGCUGGCCGGUGGGCUGGCGGGCAUGGCCGGCUGGACCCUGGGCACUCCCAUGGACGUGAUCAAAGCCCGCCUGCAAAUGGACGGCGCCAGGGAGACGAGACGCUACCGGGGACUCGCGCACUGCGUCUCCGAGACGGUGCGUCUGGAGGGAGCGGGCGUCUUCUUCAGGAGCCUGGGCAUCAACUGCCUGCGUGCGUUCCCCGUCAACAUGGUGGUGUUUGUGACGUACGAGUCGCUGAUUGGCGUCCUGCGAGCCACGCCCACCAUUGUCAAGGCGGAGAGGGUAGUGUUCGAAUAGUGUUUGUUGUUCAUGAGGGUCAGCGCACAAAAUGGAGCAUUACACGCUAAUGUGUUACAGUACUUAUUCUUUUGAUCGUGCUGCUAGUUUGUGGAUAAUGUGUAUAUAUUCGUCCGGGAGAAAAGGCAGGUGGAUAUAAAGGCUUUAACUCCCAUUGCUCAGGAACACGUAUUAUGAAUUGCCAUGCUUCAAAACACUUUAAUUGAGCAAGUUGAUGGUAAGAACCUCCCUCCUGUGUGGUUGUAUUGUUGUCGUACUUUCAAUGUAGCCUGACAUCACCAGACAAAUUCUCAAAUGCGUAUUCAAACCUCUCUGUUCAUUUUCGAUGUUAUCAAUUGGCCCAGACCAAAACACUCCUGGAUGCAAUUUGAUAGACCUACAACCAAUGAGGCUCAAGGAACGUGCAUCAGCGGCAGCUAUCUUGGUUGUUUACGAUGGUGGCAUAACCAACAUCGUGGUUAUUCCACGAUGGUGCUCCAAUAGGGCGGUCCUCUUUACAGUGUUCGUAUCAAACCCGGGCCAUAUCUUAUAACAGUUGUGGUUGGUCCGUCCCGGGCCAGGUCUGCUUGAGUUUGAACAAGUUGAAUAUGACAAGGCAGCUUCGUCUGGUUCACAGGCUAUAUUCAAUGUACAAUGCACCCAUUCAACAAAUAUUUUAAGAAAUGUAUUGGUCACAUCUUUGACGGAUAUGAAUGUAAUGGAUUUAAGCCUAUAUAUAUAUAUAUAUAUAUAUAUAUAU